rnacentral:rRNA from 1 species
UACAGGGGGUGCAAACGUUGCUCGGAAUCAUUGGGCGUAAAGCGCACGUAGGCGGUUCGUUAUGUCGGAUGUGAAAGCCCUUGGCUUAACCGAGGAAGUGCAUCCGAAACUGGCGAGCUAGAGUACUAAAGAGGAUCGCGGAAUUCCCGGUGUAGAGGUGAAAUUCGUAGAUAUCGGGAGGAACACCGGUGGCGAAGGCGGGUCUCUGGGCCGAAAUUGACGCUGAGGAGCGAAAGCGUGGGGAGCAAACAGG